UGCUUAUUCCCAGGUGAGAGCAACCCAUGAUAUUUUCUUGGUCUGGGAGCCUCCUUAAGUCCUAGACGUUUGCCACUAGCAAUGACAACACUGUGGCAUAAAUACAGAGGGGAGAUAAAAAGGUGAAUGAGAUGAACACCAGUUCCAAACUACCUGCAUUACUAACAGGCUUAUGUUUUACCAUCACAACUAAUCCAGGCAUUAUCGAAAGGCUUUCAUCACAUCUGGGAGAAGAGCUAUAUCUACUGCAGAGAAAAACAACAGUGAAGACAUUUACAUUGCUCAGGAAGCCACAAUGAAAAUAACAGUUCCGAGAUUGAGUUCUUGAAGUAGAAAUCAAACACCAGAUUACUUAACUGAAAUACAUCAUCUUCAAGCAAUGAGAGAGCCCUCACUCACAGCACAACGAGACUGCAUGCCUGAGGAGCGACUUUUGGUUUGCCAUAGCACAUCACAGAGCAAAAAACUCUGGUAUGCAACUUUGAUUUUGGGAAGUUGGCUUCUGAAGCCAUUUAAGCUUCACCCAUGAAUGCCAGAGAAGCAUCAACUCCUCUCCUUGGCUUACACUCCUCUUUCACAUUGAUUGCAUGUUUAAAAUUCUGAGUGAUAUUUUAGCACAACAGAAGUACAAAUCUUAACUAUUCAAGUGAAUAAAUACUGCAUGUCAUUCAAUACCAUGCUUACAGACACUAUUUGCAAGUUUAAUGUAUUCUGCUUACUGCUUGUGGAACAGGGCACCAAAUGAUGCCUGCUUCACAUAUGCUAGAGCCGUGCUAGCCAGGGAGAAAUUAUUUAUGCAGUGCAUUGGGAUUUGCAAGGAGGGAGAACGAAAGAGUAUGUCUACAUCUGGGGUUGCUACAAGGCCAGAGGCAUUGGAAGAGAUUAGUGUUCUACAGAGGCACUCAGAAAAAGCAGCAACAAAUGGACAGUCUACAUUAACCAAGGCAACCAUUUCAGUGUCUCCAUAACAAGGAAUUACCAUCUUUCCUACCUGACUGUUCAGAAGAAUGACAAGAAGGAAAUUGGUGGUUUCUUUCCUCCAUCCUGGACAAGAUACUUUGGCACCACUGAGUAGUGUUAGGAAGAAGGAUGAAAGACAUAUUCUAGCCUCUCUCACUGAGUUUGCAAUGGAGAUCACAACUAUUGAUAAAUGUGUUGUCAAACUGGCAGUGUAAUGUUUGCUCAUUUGAGUUCAUUUGUCUCCAUAGAAUCCAUCAGGAAAAAUUAAUAUCCUGGCUGGCAAUAAGGUUUUUUCAGAGCCAAGUCUUCCAGCUUGCCUGCAGGGAAUUCAUUGCCUUUCAGUAUGAUUGAAGGCCUGUACAUCACUGCUUAUCUGCACCUCAUUAAAUUGGUACUGAAAGACUUCAGAGUGGCUUCCUUCCUAGUGAUACCGUGACAGUCAGAGCUUGGUGUUGCCAUGAAGAAAGGGCUACUGCAUGUCAAAAUCAGACAUCUGCUGCAGCUAGAGGUAGCUCUUACUGGAAGCCAUGAAGGCAGCCUGGUUUGCUUUUUUCCUUUCCUAGAUGAUUUCAAGAAAAAUUGGGCACAUAGCAAAUUAUCUCAUGUUCCAGUUAGCAUGGAAAUCUUCAUCUCCAAAGCCUCUGUCUUAGCACAGGCAGCUCAUGCCCUUUGCAUCAAGGCAAGUACCUAAAUACAUCUGAAGACCUUAUCU
ensembl:lncRNA